rnacentral:rRNA from 1 species
CCGGCGACCGGCGCACGGGUGAGUAACACGUAUGGAACCUGCCCGCAGCAGGGGGAUAAGCGGAAGAAAUUCCGUCUAACACCGCGUAACAACGUUGGGAGGCAUCUCCCGAUGUUUAAAGAUUUAUCGGCUGCGGAUGGCCAUGCGGCGCAUUAGCUGGUCGGCGGGGUAACGGCCCACCGAGGCGACGAUGCGUAGGGGUUCUGAGAGGAAGGUCCCCCACACUGGUACUGAGACACGGACCAGACUCCUACGGAAGGCAGCAG